rnacentral:lncRNA from 13 species
AGGGAACACAGCAGGGAAAACAAGUCACAGUGCAAUAUAAUUGCUUUACUAGAUGUAAGGACAGGAGGCAGUCCACCGGAUACAGGCUCCUCAACUCGGGGUAAAACAGAGCAUUUUAACAAUGCGAUGGGAUUGGAUUGAAGCUGUGGGAAGGAGAUGACUAUCAGUUCCAUCACUGUUGUUUCCAAAAUGUGUUCCGGAUAUGAGCUAUCAUAUGUGUGGCCGGACAUGUUUAAUGCAAGGCUGCUUCAUGACCUGGUAUAGACAAUUAAGUGCAGGAUUGUUUAGGAUGGCCAAGAAAGAGGUGCUCAUAUGAAUCUGCUUGCUUGGUUGCUUUUCUUUCUCAAUUUUCCUUUCUUAUGUUCUCCAUUUUGUCUCAUCUAUCCCACUUUGUCAAGACCAAAAUUCUAUCUCCAGGCUUUCCUCCAAUGCCCUUUCAUAAAACUAAACUAACUUUCCUCCUUCCUUCCUUCCUCCCUUCUUCCUUUCUGUUUCUCUCUUUUUCUUUCUUCCUUCUUUCUUUUUCAUUCUAUCUCUUUCUGUGUUUUCAGAGCCAUAAAUCAUAUCAGGUGCUGAAAAUUCAGAGGUGAAGAAAAACAGUUCUUGCUCUUGAUGUGUUCAAUAGCAAGGAAGAUUUCUAAUAUCUUAAAUAAGAGGCAAGUGAUUUUACCAAGGAGACAAGUCAUGCCGAGUAUUGUAAAAUAGACCAAGAAACUUGCCUGUGAUGUCAGAAAACUUGCGGGUUUCUGUACAACUAGUUUGGGGAAGGAGGAUCUCUGGAGGUUUCUGAAAGGCAUGGGAAUAAGAUUUCGGAAGAAACUUGUGAAAAGGAAGAGCAUCCCAAGCUUAGGAGUCCCUCCAACACAGGCCAUCUGUCCCUUAUUCCCUAGAGUUAAAAGCAACCUACGUCAGAUUGAAAUGGAUAAAAAGAUAAAUCACCACCUCUCUGCUGAACACAGAAAGCUAAAAAGGAGAAAGAAAUUGCAUUUGCCUUUGCACUCAAUAUAUCAAAGUAAUUUAUGUCAAAACCACUAUGCCUGCUUUCAUACAUACUCG